GACGAACGCUGGCGGCGUGCUUAACACAUGCAAGUCGAACGGUGAAGCCCUUCGGGGUGGAUCAGUGGCGAACGGGUGAGUAACACGUGGGAAAUCUGCCCUGCACUCUGGGACAAGCCUUGGAAACGAGGUCUAAUACCGGAUAUGACCUUCCUCUGCAUGGGGGUUGGUGGAAAGCUCCGGCGGUGCAGGAUGAUCCCGCGGCCUAUCAGCUUGUUGGUGGGGUAAUGGGCUACCAAGGCGACGACGGGUAGUCGGCAUGAGAGGGCGACCGGCCACACUGGGACUGAGACACGGCCCAGACUCCUACGGGAGGCAGCAGUGGGGGAUAUUGCACAAUGGGCGAAAGCCUGAUGCAGCGACGCCGCGUGAUGGAUGACGGCCUUCGGGUUGUAAACAUCUUUCAGCAGGGAAGAAGCGCAAGUGACGGUACCUGCAGAAGAAGCACCGGCUAACUACGUGCCAGCCGCCGCAGUAA
rnacentral:rRNA from 1 species